AUGGGUCUAAGGCUUAGAGCACUUGAAGACUUCCCCAUCAUGAGAUGCCAGGUCUUUUAUUGGGUACUGGUUCUUAACUCUGGACUUCUCUACAAGUUUUGUCAAACUAUCAAAUGCAGAGCAAGUUGGAGGCCUGCCAGAGCACCCGGAGGAUGGAAUGAAGCAACAGAGAGGCAUCAGGAAAGGAGAACACAGAUGGAGACAGAGGUGGGAGGCAUAAGCGCCACCUACUGGCACAGGCUUGCACUUGCACAGAUAGGAGGGCUGAAAAGUUGGUCGUGGAUGGAAAUAACUGCUUGUUUCACAAAUGA